GGGAGAGAUUGCUCCCAGGCCCGGGAUUUGUGUGAGGUGAAGUCUGUGGGGUAUGGAGGCCCUGUCGUCCUGACAGGCAGGGACGGCUGUGAGAAGGAAGGCCUGAGGGAAAGAGAGACAUCUCGUCGUGGGAGCUCCAGGGCAAACUCCCUCUCCACAGGUGCAGGAACGACGUUUCCAGGCAAGCUUAAACAGAAGAGACAGCAGAGCAAACACUCCAGCCCAGCCCAUCAUUGGCUUCUGUGCUGGGUUAAACAAGACCAGAAUUCAGACCUCUCGUUGUAGUACCUUCUGGAAGCAGAGGACACAUCACCCAAACCAGAAACUUUAUCUCAGGCUUCAUUCAAACUUCACAGAAUCAGCAGCUUUUGUGACUGAGCAAAGACAGCAGCACAUGCUGAGCUUUGAGGAGCCUCCCUGAUACCUGGAUGUUUACACUCAGGAUGUGCUUCCACGCUCUGCUGAACCAGAGGCAGUAUCGUUAGAAUUGAGCCACGCUGCAUUUGGGAUUUUUCUGGUUGCAGGGCAAAGGAGUCAAUAGUGACACAACAGGCAAAGCAUCCUGCAGACCUCUUAGGAGUCUGCAACAGCCACAGAGACUCCAGCACAAAAAAAACUUCGUGAUGAGACUGAUUUGAUUUCUGCUGAGUAGGACCUUAGGAGUGAGAUAACCAGCACAGCUCCAAAUGCAGAGCUUGGCUCUACGUUGGUCCCACUCCAGUCAUUUUUGUUUCACAUGGAAGGAACAGCUUAGCAGUUCUGCUGCUUUAUAACCAGAGACACAGGGACAGAAAGCUGUAAUAAAUGGUACAGAGAAUGGGGCUGAUCUGUGCUCCCAGUGUUUGAACUUCUGAAAAAAAUUAUCUUUCAUUUAGAGCUCUAAGAACAGACUGUUUGUAUAAGUACAAUGCUGGCUUUUUCUCUUUUCCAUGGCAUGGAAUUCUUUUGCCAGGAUUGGCUCCUCUUCCUCCUUUAACAAAUCAUCACAAUUUCGGCAAGCACUUCAUUGACUGCCAGUGCAGAGCUACCAAUAAUUUACCAGAAUUGAGACACUUUUGUGCUCCCGUUCUGCACAACUAAAUUAUCUCCUGCAUGCCCGGAUUUGUUCUGUUCCUGAUUACACACUGGAGGCUCAAUCCUACCCUGAUACUGGGCUCUGUUUCUGGGCUUUUCAGAGCGUGAGCCGUCCCAAGGAUUUGGAAGUUAAGACAGUGGGUGUAAGUUGAGGUUCAGUUGAGGACACACUGCUGUGCAUCUUGGAAAGGAAUUAGAGACUUGCACGAACGCUGUAAAUUAGAAAACA